rnacentral:rRNA from 1 species
CUCUCCUUGUUCCUUCCCGCCUAUAUACCGCCGUCGUCAGCUUACCCUGCAAAGGACCUACAGUAAGCAAAAUUGGCUAACCCCCCAAAACGCCAGGUCGAGGUGUAGCGCAUGGAGAGGGAUGAGAUGGGCUACAUUCCAUCCCGCAUGGCAUACGAAAGGCAGGCUGAAACGCUUGCCCGAAGGAGGAUUUAGCAGUAAGUGGGAAAUAGAGCGUCCCACUGAAUCUGGCCCUGAAGCGCGCACACACCGCCCGUCACUCUCCCCGAAUAUCGAACCUUCCAUUCCUAAUACCUUUGACCACAUAAGGGGAGGCAAGUCGUAACAUGGUAAGUGUACCGGAAGGUGCACUUGGAUAACU